GCAUAGGCUAUUAACCUAUACCGUUUCUUCUCUUGCGAAAGAGCUUACAACCAAGGCCUUCUUCACUCACGCGGAAUGGCUGGAUCAGGGUUGCCCCCAUUGUCCAAAAUUCCCC
rnacentral:rRNA from 1 species